AGUGAAUACAGCGAUCAGGUUGGUUCCACCAUGCUAAUCAUAGCCACCAUUGAUAAUGCAAUCAGUACUAAUCAGUAAUCAGUACUGUGUGUGUUUGUGUGUGACCGACCAGUAUCUUUGAUGAGGACACAGAAGAUGAUCUACGCUGCCAUGCCCAUAAAUGGGGUGCUGGCAAAGAGCUCAACGUUGUCGAUGGGGAGACCAGAAUUAGAUGCGUCAAUGGAGCCAGCACUUGCAAACUUGCAAGAUGAUGUGAUGGAGUCCUGACCGACAGACAGGCUUGAUGCUGAUGUCUCUGAAUGGAGACAGGCCUUGCAUUUAACACUUCCACAAUGUGGGACUGAAGGUGAUUACUGAUAAUACAGUACAUCAGAAAUGUCCAGUAUUUGCAACACCUUUUCCAUUCCUUCACUGAUGUCACUGAUGAGUCACUGAUGAACUCUGCCUCAACCUUGCCUAUUUUUACAGAUGGAUAGGGCUGUAGAUGCUUUUUCCAGACGCCAUCCUCGGUUGUUUGAUGGGGAGACUCAUAAUUGGAUAGGUUUUAUCUGACCUGUUCAAACUUCAACAUAGUACCUGUUUGUGUGUCAGAUAUGACCUAUACUAACUGCCAUUGGUAAUAGAACAGUGACUUAAUGUGUAUGUGUUCACAGAAACAUGUAUGGAACCAGCACAUAGAGACUUGAUGAUGUGAUGACUGACAUACGGCUUGAUUCUGAUGUCUGUGAAUGGAAAGAGACCUGGCACUCGGCAUUAAAGUUUUAAUAGACACAA